UUUUAAAUCACAUUCGUACACCUCUUAUCAAAAGACCGAACAAAUUAUUCAUUGCCAAACCAGAAAGUAUCAUUGAUGUACAUCAGGAAAAGAACAUGUAUAACUAAAAUAGCACCCCACAUUAAGAUCAGUCAACUGCUAUGAAUCUACAAACUCAGGGGUACAUACAAUUGAUCCAAGCAAAGCGCUCACCGUGCAUGAAUUACACACCUCUGGCAGCUUCCUACUUCAAUCCUAGUACAGACUACAACCCCAUCAGUGAACCAUGGGAGGAAGAGAAAAGCAAGCAACAGUCGAUCAUCUUCAAGACAGGAAGAAACCGGAUCAUAAACUGGAAGAAAAAUUGGGACAGCAGAACCCUCACCUCAUAUUGGACCUUGUGUUUCUUGUCUCUCAUGCAGGUUCUGCAGAAUAAGAUUGUACAACAAAUGAGCAGAAUCUAUAAGCAUUGUCUCUUCAGAUUAUUUGUAAUGGCAGCAUAACACUGGGUUCAAGCAAACGAUUGGUGCUGCUGCUAGUCCUAUUUUUUCAGGAGCAGAGAUAAUUGUACAGCAAAUAAAUCACCCAUACAUACAAGUAUGGAACGAAUUGUACUAAGCUAUGAUAUAAAUCCCAAACAUAGUGACAUUUCAGGAGUAGAGCAAAUUGUCCAACAAAUAAAUCAUCCAAUACAAGUAUGUAAUGAAUUAGACUAAGUUACUCUAUCAUACACCUCAUAUUUGAACCAGGCAUGUGAGAGUUUUCCUACUUCUUAUGUUUAGUUCCUGAAUCUCAAUAAAAUGAAACUAUAAAAAUCCUGAGCUACCUCUACACUCACAGAGCUUACAAGUUGGCAUAAUUAGGAUGAACACACAUCUUACCUUAUCAGCGUGACCCCCAACAGGAAGUAGCUUCACAUCUAAUGAGAAGUGAUACGCGCAACCUUGUUUUAUGCUUGCUCGAACUGAAGAGGUCUCUCGGAAGAUAAAUGUUGUGUAAAAUUCACAUGGAACUUAAUAU
rnacentral:lncRNA from 1 species